rnacentral:rRNA from 1 species
AGAGCGGCCGAUGUCUGAUUAGCUAGUUGGUAAGGUAAUGGCUUACCAAGGCGACGAUCAGUAGUUGGUCUGAGAGGACGACCAGCCACACUGGGACUGAGACACGGCCCAGACUCCUACGGGAGGCAGCAGUGGGGAAUUUUGGACAAUGGGCGCAAGCCUGAUCCAGCAAUGCCGCGUGAGUGAAGAAGGCCUUCGGGUUGUAAAGCUCUUUCAGUCGAGAAGAAAAGAUUGUGACUAAUAAUCAUAAUUGAUGACGGUAUCGACAGAAGAAGCACCGGCUAACUACGUGCCAGCAGCCGCGGUAAUACGUAGGGUGCGAGCGUUAAUCGGAAUUACUGGGCGUAAAGGGUGCGCAGGCGGUUUUGUAAGUCAGAUGUGAAAUCCCCGGGCUUAACCUGGGAAU